GCUGAAGGAAAGAAGCUUGGAAACGACUUUAUUAUAAACCAUCAAAAUAGUAAAGAUAUAAACAUAAUGUGAAAGGAAUUUAGAGAUGAGAUACAUAAACUUACUAGCAAGCACAUAAUACAGAGAACAAAUAAACAUCAACAUGGAUACACUUUGGUUACGAUAGAACUGCGUAGGAUGAUGAGGAAAAGGGACAGAUUACAACUAAAUUAAAAAGACAAAACAGUAUAUAACGGGAAAAUGAGAACAGCAUACAAAAACCUGAAACACCUAGUACAAAAAAAAAAACAAGCGAAUACUAAUGGAACUAUCAAACAUCGUAGCACCUGACGAUGAACCAAACCC
rnacentral:lncRNA from 1 species